rnacentral:lncRNA from 1 species
CUUUCUGGAUUCACUCUAGGACUAUCUGGAGAAAGAGGGCGCAGACGCACGAUUCCGGGAUCGGGUGCACCACGGCGAAGCCCAGGCGGGAGACGGCAGGAGCAGCUCAGGUAACCAGGGGAAGCUUGCGUGCCCACGGAGAUGCAGCCGUGGAGCUGUGAGGAAAGACGGUCUGGCUUCAGAAUUUAAAAAAAAAAAAUAGAAAAAAAAAAAAAAAAAGAAACACAAAACAGCGCAGCUCGGCGCCAGCGGGGGUGGAAAAAACAGACACAAACCAUAAAAAAAAGCAAGAGUUAAAAUCAAAUUUCAAAAAAAAAAAAAAAAAAAAGGAAAUACAGAGAUCAGAGUACUUCAUGCGACUUUUAUUUCUGACGUUUCUUGGUUUAUUGGCCUCCCCACCCCCUCCAAAAUCUGUUCUGUCCCUGAACACCACUGUCUGUCCAUGAGUGCCAGUCACAAAGACUCUUGCUCCCAAGUGCUGCAGACCCAGCAUCACAUGAGAAACCACAUGACAAACUGCAGUCGGCUGCUGAUGUGGUCAACUAUUUCACCCAGGCAGGGGGAGCAGGAGGGAGACAAACCUCAAGUGAGACAUGCCCCUCUCAGGCGGCCAGGAAGACAUUUCCUUAAAAGAACAAUGAGAAGCAUGCCUCUGAAGCUUGCUUGGGAAUACAUAUACACUUUUACAUAUGCGCACUUACAGAGACUAAAGAGGCCGUGGAUACUUGAAGACAUUCUGAGGAUGCUGUACCACAGACACUAGCUGGAUGGCAGCAAUAUUAUUUCUAGUAUGUAUUAGUCAAAGCUGAUUCCACUUAAGUGGAUUCCUGAAAAGCACACACCACGUCUUCAUAGCAUGAUCAGGCUUGGAAAACCUAUUCUAUUAUCUCUCCCUGCAAUCUGUAUCUGAACCUGCAUUCUGAAUAAUUUAUUUUUAGACUAAUAAGAUGCUUGCCAAGACUGCUCCCUUUCUUCGGUAAGCAGCACAGGCAAUAUUCACCCGAGUAGGAAAGCCUCGUCCCUUUGUAGGGAGAAGAGAAGAGAUGGUUUUUUAAAAAUGCAAUUUCUUAUUUAAAGGCAGACAAACACAUAGCAAUAAAGUUCUCGCAAGUAAUCUUAAAAACAAGUGAAAUGUUUCUGCUUCAUUGAAUCGACAUGUCUCUUAUUUGCAGUUUGGCAUCUCAUGCUGGCAAAUGGUGGUGAUAUUUUUCUAACACUGCUCAUGGCUGCAGCUACAGCCCUUAAGCCACAUGGAUAUUGCUACUUCUCAGCAGGGUGAGAGCAAACAAUUGCUUUCUGGAGCACCUUCCUGUGGAGGUGCUGCACUGCCAGGUAUGCUUUACUAGUUACAUUAAGGCAAGUACAAGUGAGAUGGCCUCAGGGUCUGUAGAUUCUGUCACUCAUCCUGGAAUUAAGUAAGUUGCCUAUUUGGGACGUCCUUCCCAAGACGUGAGAGGUAUACCUUUUUAGCAAAAUUGAUUAUGCCGGCUAACUAGAACCGGAGAAUCAUUAAACAGGUGGGAGGUAAUUGUCUACAACAUGUCUUAUUGGACUGUGUAGAUAUCAAGGUAAGUGGCCUUUAAUUCAUUUGAGAUGCCCUUUCAGCCUCUCACUGUAUAAGUGUGUCAAGGAUGGUCCCAGACCCUGGGGUUCCAAUGAUGAGCAAGAGAUGCAUGGUCUCUGCCAUCUUGGAGCUCAAGGUCCAGUAACUGCACACAUCUUUUGUCCUUCAAGACAACCUUUUCCCAAUUUGAAUUCUCCAAAGUUAACCAAGGAAGAGAUCCAGCAGUCACUUUUUACCCUUGCCUUUUCA